rnacentral:rRNA from 1 species
AUUGAACGCUGGCGGCAUGCUUUACACAUGCAAGUCGAACUGUAACAGGUUAAGCUGACGAGUGGCGAACGGGUGAGUAAUACAUCGGAACGUGCCCGGUCGUGGGGGAUAACACUUCGAAAGAAGUGCUAAUACCGCAUACGAUCUGAGGAUGAAAGCGGGGGACCGUAAGGCCUCGCGCGAUCGGAGCGGCCGAUGUCAGAUUAGGUAGUUGGUGGGGUAAAGGCUCACCAAGCCGACGAUCUGUAGCUGGUCUGAGAGGACGACCAGCCACACUGGGACUGAGACACGGCCCAGACUCCUACGGGAGGCAGCAGUGGGGAAUUUUGGACAAUGGGCGCAAGCCUGAUCCAGCAAUGCCGCGUGCAGGAAGAAGGCCUUCGGGUUGUAAACUGCUUUUGUACGGAGCGAAAAGGCUCUCUCUAAUACAGGGGGCUCAUGACGGUACCGUAAGAAUAAGCACCGGCUAACUACGUGCCAGCAGCCGCCGUAA